GCCCGAGAAUCCUUGAACGUUCCAAAAAUCUCUUACGUCGAUAAUCAGGAUUGCAUCGAUUUAAUCGAAUCGAAGAAUACGGGUAUCUUCUUCCUGCUAGACGAGGAGUCGAAAUUGCCGACUCACAGUUUCGCACAUUUCACCAACGAGGUUCACCGCGCGUGGAAUGGUCACUUCCGCAUCACUUUACCGCGAACGUCACGAUUGAAGGCUCAUCGAGAAUUACGAGACGAUGAGGGCUUCGUGAUUCGUCAUUACGCCGGCGGUGUCUGCUAUCAAACGAACCAAUUCAUUGAAAAAAACAAUGAUGCAUUGCACGCCUCCUUAGAAGGGCUUAUUCAGGAAAGUGGGAAUAAAUUCCUUAGGACGCAAUUCGUCAAUCAUUCGUUGCAAAAGGAAAAGCUCACCUUUAUUAGUGUCGGCAGUAAAUUCAAGACGCAGCUCGGCGAACUGAUGGACAAGUUAAAGAGCA